ensembl:snRNA U6 U6 spliceosomal RNA
AUGCUCGCUUUGGCAGCACAUAUACUAAAAUUGGAACGAUACAGAGAAGAUUAGCAUGGCCCCUGCACAAGGAUGACACGCAAAUUCGUGAAGCAUUCCAUAUUUUU